CCCUAUCUUAGAAAAUCACAAACAAUAAUCCCUACACAAUCGUAGUCUCAUCACUGUACUUCAUCAUUAUCUUUAUUUUACAAGAAGUCAACAAUCACUUCAUUAUUUAUUAUUAUAUACAUAUAUACUUUUUACAACAAUCAAACCCACACACGCCAGACCCAAGUGCAAACCACGCCGGAUUCGUUUGCCCAGCGCCGGCGUGGCGCACCGUCCAGACCAAUUCCCAUCGGUAUUUUAAGUUGUUAUGCGUUGUUACUAGAUUUGCCACUCGCGAUCGUCCUAAUUCCCAUCGCAAAUUGUGCAAGCCUGUCAUCCCUGACUCAUCUUAUGUCUCCGGAACGUCCCGUCUUCGCCACUGUCAUCAUGUGCCAUCCGUUGGCUGUUGCUGCCUUCUCCCAAUCAAUGGUAAACUCACUUUUGGUUUAAUUUCUAUGUUCGCUAAGUGUAAAUUAUAUAAUGGAUGAUAGGAA
rnacentral:lncRNA from 1 species